rnacentral:lncRNA from 1 species
UAAUGUUGGCAAAGUGCUUAAUGCCAUGCCUACACAGAGUAAGUGCUCAAAGAGUGGUUUUUAUUACUGCUAUUUUUUAACUUAUGAAUUCAGUCUUACAGCACCUGUCUUUAUGGAAGGGAGAAUCAGAAAGCCAAAUUAAGGUGGAAACAAAGCCUUAGUUGUAUGAAUCCCUUAUUGUGUCUUAGUCCUGUUUGUCUAUUCAUUUUCAGACACAAUGCCAGCAAGAGACACAGGGAGGAAAACAGGAGCCAUAAAUAAGAAGCUGAAAGAAAGAGCUAUUCUGCUAAAUCUUGGUGGUGGGCUGCAAUCAGUCUUUGGGAUUAAAAACAAAAAAUAAAAAACCAAAACCCCGGAAAUAAGGCAGAGAUCUACUCACUGAGAAUGGUUUUUGAAGAGAGAAGAAGGGACAGCCAUACAGGGCUAGUGCCAUAGGAACACAUGUUUUGAAUCUGGUGAGUUGAAUUGGAUGAUUUCUAAACUUAGAGAGAAAUUUCUUUUAGUCACUAUAGCCAUUACUGACUUCUGUUUGUAGGUUUGGUGAGUAGACACCCUUUCUACUCUUCGCUACCCCCUUAGGUAUCAUUCGUUUUCUUUCACAACUUUUAUAUCUCUGCAAUGGUUUACCACCUAUGUUCUCAUUCUCUAGGUGUGCAUUCUAAAACAUCAACUUUGGUGCCAAGAAUUGGACACUUUGGCCACUGUUUUGCAGUAUGAAUGCUGACUCACCAGAUGAUACAGCUCAGGAGCUUGAUACAGAUGAUACAGUCAUGAGUAAAUACUGUAUCCCCAGUUUGCAAGUGAACAUGUUUGUGGCAUUUCAGUGCUUGGGGAAAGAGAAAGCAAUGCAGACCAUUCCUUGGAAGAGAGAAGGAUGAGAAAGGAAGAGAUUGUGACCUGGGCCAGGUAGGAAAGAGAGAAGGGAUACCAAGAGGAUUCCAGAGCCUUUUCUCUAGGAAAUAACUUCCUGUAGAAAUGGAGUUCUGACUGUUGAGAAGAUAUCCACUGACAGUAGGGAAGCCCAACCUCUGAAAAUUACAGGGUCUCUCUCCCCAAAUCCCAUUUCACCACUUACUCCAAGUAUUACAUAUGGUCUCAUGAUGAAAACAAAGGUUAGUGAUUUAACUGUGAUUUGUAAUCUUCAGAUUUAAAGUUUACAUAUUAUAUGCUUUUUAUUAAUUAUAUUUUUUCUA